UCCCUGGUAGCUCAGACGGUAAAGAAUCUGCCUGCAAUGCAGGAAAUUCAGGUUUGAUCCCUGCACUGGGAA
rnacentral:tRNA from 1 species